UACGAACCGUCCGAACGUUAUUCGGUAUCACUGGGCUUAAAGCGUGCGUAGGCGGCCUGGUAGGUGAGAUGUGAAAGCCCACGGCUCAACCGUGGAAUUGCGUUUCAAACCACCAGACUGGAGGAUGGCAGGGGUGAUGGGAACUGAUGGUAGAGCGGUGAAAUGCGUUGAUAUCAUCAGGAACACCGGUGGCGAAGGCGCAUCACUGGGCCAUUUCUGACGCUGAGGCACGAAAGCUAGGGUAGCGAAC
rnacentral:rRNA from 1 species